GGCCAUGGUGCAAUGUCCGGGCAAUGUGUCCAGAGAAGAUAACUGAAUCGACUCAGUUCUGCGAUUUGCGUAGGCUGAGGUCAAGGUGCAUGUCAGUGCAAAAGCGAUGACCUUGAUCAGAAAGAUUUGUGUGCACCCAACAAGGGCCUUUUGAAGACUGGACUGUCUUGCUGGGGCUAAAUGGAUAUUGAACUGUAUACAAGAGAUUGGUGACUAACAGCUGACCAGCAAUGGAGUCAGCUUCAUCCACAAAGUCUCUUCCUCAGUCUUGAUCUGGGAUGCUAAGACUUGGUCCCCAAAAAACAAAGAGAAGUGUGUGAAAACUGUUUCGGAAACUAGACUGUCUUGCUGCACUGAAAGGAUCUUGAACUGUGUACAUGAGAUAGGUGACUAACAGCUGACCUGUAAUGGAGUUGGCUUCACCUGCAAAGUCUCUUCCUCCGUCUUGGUCUGGGAUGCUAAGACUUGGUCCCCAAAAAACAAAGAGAAGUGUGUGAAAACUGUUUCGGAAACUGGAUUGUCUUGUUGUGCUAAAUGGAUCUUAAACUGUGUUCAAGAGGUGGGUGACUAACAGCUGACCUGUAAUGGAGUUGGCUUCACCUGCAUGGUCUCUUCCUCAGUCUUGGUCUGGGAUGCUAAGAAUUGGUCCC